GGGAGGAUGGCCGAGUGGUUAUGGCGUGUGGCUCAAGAUAAUCUUCUAUCUUUCCUGGUUAAAACUGGGUGUGCUUUCUCAUAGGGAAACCUGCAGGGGUUCGAAUCCCCUUCCUCUCA